rnacentral:rRNA from 1 species
AUACGAAUGGUGCAAGCGUUGUUCGGAAUCACUGGGCAUAAAGCGCGCGUAGGCGGCGGCAUAAGUCAGCUGUGAAAUCCCUCGGCUCAACCGAGGAACUGCAGCUGAAACUGUGUUGCUAGAGUGUGGGAGGGGAGAACGGAAUUCCUGGUGGAGCGGUGAAAUGCAUAGAUAUCAGGAGGAACGCCGGAGGCGAAAGCGGUUCUCUGGUCCACUACUGACGCUGAGGUGCGAAAGCUAGGGGAGCAAACAGGAUUAGAAACCCGGGUAGUCC